AUUGAACGCUGGCGGCAGGCUUAACACAUGCAAGUCGAGCGGGGUGAUGGUGCUUGCACUAUCACUUAGCGGCGGACGGGUGAGUAAUGCUUAGGAAUCUGCCUAUUAGUGGGGGACAACAUCUCGAAAGGGAUGCUAAUACCGCAUACGUCCUACGGGAGAAAGCAGGGGAUCACUUGUGACCUUGCGCUAAUAGAUGAGCCUAAGUCGGAUUAGCUAGUUGGUGGGGUAAAGGCCUACCAAGGCGACGAUCUGUAGCGGGUCUGAGAGGAUGAUCCGCCACACGGGGACUGAGACACGGCCCAGGCUCCUACGGGAGGCAGCAGUGGGGAAUCUUGGACAAUGGGGGCAACCCUGAUCCAGCGAUGCCGCGUGUGUGAAGAAGGCCUUAGGGUUGUAAAGCACUUUAAUGAGGGAGGAGUAGGGUAUUUUUAAUAGAGAUGCCUGAGGACGUUACUCGCAGAAUAAGCACCGGCUAACUCUGUGCCAGCCGCCGCCGUAA
rnacentral:rRNA from 1 species